rnacentral:sRNA from 1 species
CGGUGUUGUCGUGCUGUAACACUACAACACCGCUAACCAUAAGCAACUACAGAGGAGUUGAAUGAUGGCUAA